ACUCCUACGGGAGGCAGCAGUGGGGAAUAUUGGACAAUGGGCGAAAGCCUGAUCCAGCCAUGCCGCGUGAGUGAUGAAGGCCUUAGGGUUGUAAAGCUCUUUCGCCAGGGACGAUAAUGACGGUACCUGGAUAAGAAGCCCCGGCUAACUUCGUGCCAGCAGCCGCGGUAAU
rnacentral:rRNA from 1 species